GUGGGGAAUUUUGGACAAUGGGCGAAAGCCUGAUCCAGCCAUGCCGCGUGCAGGAUGAAGGCCUUCGGGUUGUAAACUGCUUUUGUACGGAACGAAAAGACUCCUUCUAAUAAAGGGGGUCCAUGACGGUACCGUAAGAAUAAGCACCGGCUAACUACGUGCCAGCAGCCGCGGUAAUACGUAGGGUGCAAGCGUUAAUCGGAAUUACUGGGCGUAAAGCGUGCGCAGGCGGUUAUAUAAGACAGAUGUGGAAUCGCCGGGCUCAACCGUGGAACUGCAUUUGUGACUGUAUAGCUAGAGUACGGUAGAGAGGGAUGGAAUUCCGCGUGUAGCAGUGAAAUGCGUAGAUAUGCGGAGGAACACCGAUGGCGAAGGCAAUCCCCUGGACCUGUACUGACGCUCAUGCACGAAAGCGUGGGGAGCAAACAGGAUUAGAAACCCCGGUAGUCC
rnacentral:rRNA from 1 species